UACGUAGGGUGCAAGCGUUGUCCGGAAUUAUUGGGCGUAAAGAGCUCGUAGGCGGUCUGUCGCGUCGGCUGUGAAAACUCGGGGCUCAACUCCGAGCUUGCAGUCGAUACGGGCAGGCUAGAGUGUGGUAGGGGAGACUGGAAUUCCUGGUGUAGCGGUGAAAUGCGCAGAUAUCAGGAGGAACACCGAUGGCGAAGGCAGGUCUCUGGGCCACUACUGACGCUGAGAAGCGAAAGCAUGGGGAGCGAACAGG
rnacentral:rRNA from 1 species